GAUGAACGCUAGCUACAGGCUUAACACAUGCAAGUCGAGGGGUAACGAGAGGAAAGCUUGCUUUCCUUGUUGACGACCGGCGCACGGGUGAGUAACGCGUAUCCAACCUGCCCCCAACUAGGGAAUAACCUUGCGAAAGUAAGACUAAUACCCUAUAAUUUCCUCAGAUGUCAUCUGACGAGGAAUAAAGAUUUAUCGGUUGUGGAUGGGGAUGCGUGUGAUUAGCUUGUGUGCGGGGUAACGGCCCACCAAGGCAACGAUCAGUAGGGUUUGUGAGAGGAAGGUCCCGCACAUUGGACCUGGGACACGGUCCAAACUCGUACGGGAGGCAGCAGUGAGGAAUAUUGGUAAAUGGGCGGAAGCCUGAACCAGCCAAGUAGCGUGCAGGAUGACGGCCCUAUGGGUUGUAAACUGCUUUUAUACAGGAAUAAAGUUAGCCACGUGUGGUUAUUUGUAGGUACUGUAUGAAUAAGGACCGGCUAAUUCCGUGCCAGCAGCCGCCGUAA
rnacentral:rRNA from 1 species